rnacentral:rRNA from 1 species
UGGGGAAUAUUGGACAAUGGGGGCAACCCUGAUCCAGCCAUGCCGCGUGUGUGAAGAAGGCCUUAGGGUUGUAAAACACUUUCAGCGGGGAAGAUGAUGACGGUACCCGCAGAAGAAGCCCCGGCUAACUCCGUGCCAGCAGCCGCGGUAAUACGGAGGGGGCUAGCGUUGUUCGGAAUUACUGGGCGUAAAGGGCGUGUAGGCGGUUUGCCAAGUCAGGCGUGAAAGCCCCGGGCUUAACCUGGGAACUGCGUUUGAGACUGGCAGGCUAGAGGUUGGAAGAGGAGAGUGGAAUUCCCAGUGUAGAGGUGAAAUUCGUAGAUAUUGGGAAGAACACCAGUGGCGAAGGCGGCUCUCUGGUCCACACCUGACGCUGAGGCGCGAAAGCGUGGGGAGCAAACAGG